rnacentral:rRNA from 1 species
GACGAACGCUGGCGGCGUGCCUAAUACAUGCAAGUCGAGCGGACGGAUGGGAGCUUGCUCCCAGACCGUCAGCGGCGGACGGGUGAGUAACACGUGGGCAACCUGCCUGUAAGACUGGGAUAACUCCGGGAAACCGGGGCUAAUACCGGAUAACUCUUUCCCUCACCUGAGGGAAAGCUGAAAGAUGGCAUCUCGCUAUCACUUACAGAUGGGCCCGCGGCGCAUUAGCUAGUUGGUGAGGUAACGGCUCACCAAGGCGACGAUGCGUAGCCGACCUGAGAGGGUGAUCGGCCACACUGGGACUGAGACACGGCCCAGACUCCUACGGGAGGCAGCAGUAGGGAAUCUUCCGCAAUGGGCGAAAGUCUGACGGAGCAACGCCGCGUGAGUGAUGAAGGUUUUCGGAUCGUAAAACUCUGUUGUCAGGGAAGAACAAGUACCGGAGUAACUGCCGGUACCUUGACGGUACCUGACCAGAAAGCCACGGCUAACUACGUG